CUACGGGAGGCAGCAGUGGGGAAUUUUGGACAAUGGGCGCAAGCCUGAUCCAGCCAUGCCGCGUGAGUGAAGAAGGCCUUCGGGUUGUAAAGCUCUUUCGGCGGGGAAGAAAUCGCAUUCUCUAAUACAGGAUGUGGAUGACGGUACCCG
rnacentral:rRNA from 1 species